GUCUAUAGCCAUACCACUAUGAAUAUGCCCAAUUUGAUCUCAGAAGCUAAGCAGGGUCAAGCCUAAUUAGUACUUGGAUAGGUGACUGCCUGGGAAUACUGGGUGCUGUAGGCU
rnacentral:rRNA from 1 species